CAACUGUUAAGUCCCAGCCUGAACCACUGAUUCAGCACCUGGGGAAAGGACCCGGUCAGCCCUGGGAGCACAGGUGAAGGCAAUUCGGCUGUGUGACCAGAAGGGGUGGAGCCUGGCUGCACCUCUCUUAGACCUCAUUUAAGUGCUGACUGCCCCUGGGGAAGGGUCUCUUUCUGGAGAUCCCUCCUUGGUGGAUUUUUCCCCUCUGAACCUGGAAUCUUCUGGUAUGGGUCUCUGAUGCAGCUUAAACCCAGCUCUUUUGCCCAUGCAGGAGCUUGUGCUGCGUGGAUUUGGCUAGUCACUGGUCCAAACUGCUGGAAAUCAUCCUGCCCAUGACAGAGGUCUUCUGUGCUGUCUGCCAGGCUAACAGGAAGCACAAGUGUGGAAGAGCCCCAGAGCUGCAUGGUGCCUCCUGCCCGGCCCAUGGGAUGGUUGUCAAAUGCUGCACUUAACAUCUGCAGUUGUCUCUCAGCAAAUGGAGCAGUGUUUCUCUUCAGACCCCGUGAUGACUGCUCAGGCUUUGCUCAAUCUGUACUUUAUGUGGAGAGGCGCAUUUUCAGAAAUGAACUUUCC
ensembl:lncRNA